rnacentral:rRNA from 1 species
UACAGAGGUGGCAAGCGUUGUUCGGAAUUACUGGGCGUAAAGGGCGAGUAGGCGGCCUUCUAAGUCAGACGUGAAAUCCCCCGGCUUAACCUGGGAACUGCGUCUGAUACUGGGAGGCUAGAGUAUGGGAGAGGGAUGUAGAAUUCCAGGUGUAGCGGUGAAAUGCGUAGAUAUCUGGAGGAAUACCGGUGGCGAAGGCGGCCUUCUGGACCAGUACUGACGCUGAGGCACGAAAGCGUGGGGAGCAAACAGG